CAGUCGCCGCGGAAUACGAAGGGUGCAAGCGUUAAUCGGAAUUACUGGGCGUAAAGCGUGCGUAGGCGGUGAGUUAAGUCUGCUGUGAAAUCCCCGGGCUCAACCUGGGAAUGGCAGUGGAUACUGGCUCGCUAGAGUGUGUCAGAGGAUGGUGGAAUUCCCGGUGUAGCGGUGAAAUGCGUAGAGAUCGGGAGGAACAUCAGUGGCGAAGGCGGCCAUCUGGGACAACACUGACGCUGAGGCACGAAAGCGUGGGGAGCAAACAGGAUUAGAUACCCCGGUAGUCCCUGUCCUUAUACAC
rnacentral:rRNA from 1 species